rnacentral:rRNA from 1 species
GAUGAACGCUAGCUACAGGCUUAACACAUGCAAGUCGAGGGGAAACGAUAGAGAAAGCUUGCUUUUUCUAGGCGUCGACCGGCGCACGGGUGAGUAACGCGUAUCCAACCUGCCCAUCACUUGGGGAUAACCUUGCGAAAGUAAUACUAAUACCCAAUGACGUCUCUAGAAGACAUCUGAAAGGGAUUAAAGAUUUAUCGGUGAUGGAUGGGGAUGCGUCUGAUUAGCUUGUUGGCGGGGUAACGGCCCACCAAGGCGACGAGCAGUAGGGGUACUGAAAGGAAGGGCCCCAACAUAGGAACUGAGACACGGUCCAAACUGCUACAGGAGGCAGCAGUGAGGAAUAUUGGUCAAUUGACGAGAGUCUGAACCAGCCAAGUAGCGUGCAGGAUGACGGCCCUAUGUGUUGUAAACUGCUUUUAUAAGUGAAUAAAGUGGGAGUCGUGACUCUUUUUGCAUGUACCUUAUGAAUAAGGACCGGCUAAUUCCGUGCCAGCCGCCGCAGUAA